UCGCCUCGAAUUUAAACAAACAAAAUCUUAGAGUUUGCCCACCCAAAUAUUAACGGCCUAACAUGCUCCUAGCUAUUAAAGCAAUAAAAUAAAAAUAGUCACUCAAAAUGCAAUUCCUUUUUUUUCAGUUCCUUUUUAUAUCCAAAACACUGUGACACAUUCGGCUAAGACAACAUUCAGUUCUUCAAGAUCAAUCUGAACUAAAGAGGAGAAUUAGGCCUUAAUUUGUUCACCUUCUUAUUAACUCAACUACACUAAUUCCAGUGUCUUUCCUCAAACAAGACCAAGCAUGAACCCAUAUUACUCACUUUAAUUAAAUCACACACCUACAUAAGAUUCAAGGAAUAGAAGACUAAAAUAUCACGUUCUAUCUUCAUCAAACAUCAAAAAUCAGAAUAAUAAUAUAGCCACGCUAAAAAAAAAUACCACAUGCAUAGAAAUUUAAAAGGAACAAACAGAUAGGGAAAGAGAUUGGACCUUUAUUGCUGCAUAUCUUCACAAUUACAGUAAAAGAAAUUUUCCAAAAACAGCAAACCAAAGACGAGCUACUGACCCAAGCUUUGAACCAGUGACAGAACCUCGGAUCGGAGAUCAUUGAUACACCCUCGUUAAACUUUACUCAACUUUAGUUCAUAACUCAAUAAAACUGAAAUUCUGAUCUACUCUUAGAUUUUGAUUUGGGUUACAAUGAUUUACAGAGCUUUUCCGGUUCCUAUCUCAUUUUCAGCGAGCUGGAGAAUGGGGCUGACGACGAGAGAUGGUUGAAACUUUCUUUGUUCUUUCUUUCUUUCUUUUUCUCUCUUUACAGAGCUUUUCUAGUUCCUCUCUCAUUUUCGGCGAGCUGGAAAAUGGGCUGACGAAAGGAGAUGGGUGAAGGUCGAGGCUAAACUAGAGAAGAAGAAGCAGUGGCGGAGAAGACGUGACUAGGGUUCAGGGGUGUGGCUGGCUGAAGCUCGUUUUUCCGGCGAGCUUGAGAACAAAGAAUAUGUGGUCGCGGCACAAGCUUAGGGGUGAGAGAGUGGUGGUCGUUUGAGGGCUGGUUCACGGCUGGGACGUCUGCUGCUAAGGUCUGGUCGGCGGCUGGAGAGUGGUUAUGAAGUUCCGGCGACGGCAGAUAUGGGUGGCGCGACGGCUGGAGGAGAACGGGUGGUCACCAGUUGUGGUAUUCUGGACGAUGGUGAGUGGCGAGAAGGGUGUGGGGUUGAGCUUAGGCGGCUAGGUUUUUUGUAAUGUUUUUUCCAUUGUUGUUCCUUGGUGUUCCAUGCUGAGGAAGAAGACCCCUCUUAACUUUUCUAGGAUUUUUUCACCUUGUU
rnacentral:lncRNA from 1 species